rnacentral:rRNA from 1 species
AUGGCAAGUGAUGUGCCCAUCCUUCAGCUGCCUCGGUACAGCGUCCUCACAACUCCGGGCGGUUGCUAUUUCGGCAGCGUGGACUCCAUGCAGAUGCUAUCGUCUUGCCUGCAAGAGGGACAUAUUUUUAAUCUACAGUGGACUCACAGCCCAGUUCGCGUAUGGCUCAUUACUAUGUUGUUCUUCCUGUGUGUAUGUGGUCAGCGUUUGCGAGAUCAGGGUGCCAGCAUGGCUACUUACAGUUUAAGAAGCUUUGUUCGCAUUGACAGUGAGAGGUUUCUAUUUUCUUUCUUUUUGUUUCCCUGGAUGUUUCAACUUUUCUACUGUCCCCCCUCCUGCCAGCGUGACUCACGCUGGUUUACUGUUUGUUUGUAG